rnacentral:ribozyme from 1 species
CCCCCCCCAAGGACCCACCUUGCCGUGGUGUGGGGCUCACGCCCAAUACGGGCGUGCCAACGGGUC